rnacentral:rRNA from 1 species
GAGACAGUUCGGUCCCUAUCUGCCGUGGGCGCUGGAGAAUUGAGGGGGGCUGCUCCUAGUACGAGAGGACCGGAGUGGACGCAUCACUGGUGUUCGGGUUGUCAUGCCAAUGGCACUGCCCGGUAGCUAAAUGCGGAAGAGAUAAGUGCUGAAAGCAUCUAAGCACGAAACUUGCCCCGAGAUGAGUUCUCCCUGAGACUUUAAGUCUCCUGAAGGAACGUUAAAGACGAUGACGUUGAUAGGCCGGGUGUGUAAGCGCAGCGAUGCGUUGAGCUAACCGGUACUAAUGAACCGUGAGGCUUAACCUUACAACGCCGAAG